AUUUGAGACAAGACAAGACAAGGUUCAGUUUUGAGGCUAAAUGACCUCAAACUUUCAGAACAUCAUAUCAGACCAUUUUUGGCUCAUUUAGCCUCUCUCCUCACUCUACGAACCUGGACAAAGCCUUCUGAUCUCCUGCCAGCAACCACUUCUGUGUUGAUUAAUACUUCCGUCUCGCUCUGUGCCAUGCCAAACAGAGCUGGGUUUGCUGCCCGUCCAGAAGAGCAAGAGCUAUGCAGCUGGACAGAUCUGUCGGCCCAGGGCAGGCACUAGACACAAGUGAACAACACGAGGAUGAAAUGAAGCUCCACCAAAACGAGCCCUGGCAGUCAGAGGCAAUGGGGGGAUGGAACUCCCUCUUAAUGGGCAACCAAGAGUAGCACCUGGAUUGGCGAGAAAUGCAAACUGCCUGGAAGCAGAGCAGGGCAGGCUCCACCCACGGUGUAUGACAGAUGCGGAUUUCCCAGGUGAAAUGUAAACCGCCCCAGGAACUCUUACCGGCACCAUCUCAGUGAUCAGUUAACACCUGAGCAUGUAUUGUCACCACAGAGUUCCUUGCCUGAAAGUAUAUAAAUUUUGCUUAAGAAAAGAGCACUAGGCCAGGUGCAGUGGCUUAGUCCUGUAAUCCCAGCACUUUGGGAGGCUGAGGCAGGCGGAUCACUUGAGGUCAGUAGUUCAAGGCCAGCCUGGCCAACAUGGUGAAACCCCGUCUCCACUAAAAAUACAAAAAUGAGCUGGGUGUGGUGGUGUGCACCUGUAGUUCCAGCUUCUGGG
rnacentral:lncRNA from 1 species